rnacentral:rRNA from 1 species
CCUACGGGAGACAGCAGUGGGGAAUAUUGCACAAUGGGGGAAACCCUGAUGCAGCGACGCCGCGUGAGUGAAGAAGUAUUUCGGUAUGUAAAGCUCUAUCAGCAGGGAAGAAGAAAGACGGUACCUGACUAAGAAGCCCCGGCUAACUACGUGCCAGCAGCCGCGGUAAUACGUAGGGGGCAAGCGUUAUCCGGAUUUACUGGGUGUAAAGGGAGCGUAGACGGCUGUGCAAGUCUGAAGUGAAAGCCCGGGCUCAACCCUGGGACUGCUUUGGAAACUGUGGAGCUAGAGUGCUGGAGAGGUAAGUGGAAUUCCUAGUGUAGCGGUGAAAUGCGUAGAUAUUAGGAGGAACACCAGUGGCGAAGGCGGCUUACUGGACAGUAACUGACGUUGAGGCUCGAAAGCGUGGGGAGCAAACAGGAUUAGAUACCCCUGUAGUC